rnacentral:rRNA from 1 species
UACGAAGGGGGCGAGCGUUGUUCGGAUUUACUGGGCGUAAAGGGCGCGCAGGCGGCUAUCCAAGUCAGGCGUGAAAGCCCCGGGCUUAACCUGGGAGGUGCGUCUGGGACUGGGGGGCUAGAGAUCGGGAGAGGAGAGUGGAAUUCCCAGUGUAGAGGUGAAAUUCGUAGAUAUUGGGAAGAACACCGGUGGCGAAGGCGGCUCUCUGGACCGAUACUGACGCUGAGGCGCGAAAGCGUGGGGAGCAAACAGG